rnacentral:sRNA from 1 species
GCCAGGCAUGGUGGCAAGUACAUGUAGUCCUGGCUACUCAGGAGGCUGAGGCAAGAGGAUCACUGGAGUCCAGGAGUUUGAGGCCAAUCUGGGCAACAUAGUGAGACACCCCCUCCC